rnacentral:lncRNA from 1 species
UGAGUGGAUACGGGCUGGAUGCUAUUGUAUUGGAGCGGAACGAGGGCAGAUUGUGGGUGAAGAGAUGGUGGUGGACCUUGCUAGAGUCGGGGUCUCUCAUCAUUCAUUUGUCACGGGAGAAAUGUGGUAUCAAUAGAGCUCUGUACGUAUCAAUGUGAAAAUGUCAGUUUGCACAAGGGGCAACUCAAACAACGGUUGGAUGCGCAUGGAUCUUCCCUUUCGCAGGAUGUGAGUUAGAGAAGGGGACCCCGGUCGUUCUUUUAUUGUAGAAGAUGAACGAAAAAAGAUAUCCACGAAGGUGAUGUGGUAGAUGGGUCAGGCCUGAGGGUGAUGGUGGUGGGAGACGGAGGAUUAGAAUGGAUCUCAACUGUCAGGAUGCUUACCAUUGGUUUGUUUACUGUCGGAUGCUUCUGCCACCGUUUGCAACUAGCAACGGAUGUGGACAGAGGUGAAUUUAGGAGCUUUUUAGUUUCUUGGUAUUCUAGUUUUUAGAUGAGCAAAGUUCAAGUGUGGCUAGAACGUAUGCUUUUCUUUUCACGUUUUCUUUUUAAGUGCUAAGGUUUGUAUUUUAUUUGGCUGUUUUUAAUUUUAUUUCUCAUUUGUAAAACGUUGUCAUAUUGCUUCAAUAAAGAUGUCUA